AGAGGUAAACGGGUGGAGUUGAACUGCAUGCUCUGUGAAUUCAGCUGGUGAGAUUGUAGUGGGCUUGGUCAUGUUGGGUAGACGCUGAGGUAUGCUUAGCUGCAUGUCCUGGCCUUUUGGUUGGGAUGCGUGAUGCGCUUAUCAUGCGUUGCGCGCCUUAGUUGUUUCUCUGCCUACUCGCCAGUGCAUUUUCACGGAGUGAUCACCAAGACCGGCGUUGCCGUCGGACUGUCUCAGUUGAACCGGUCUUACGCGUCCUUUUGGGCGUUGUUUGGUCGGGACGGCAGGUAGCCUGUUGGCUUGCUUUACGCUUGCUUUCGGGUUUAAUCAGCUGAUUGAGGUGGGACUGUGCGGUACGUCGGAGCUGGCGGCCAGUUGUGCAUGCUCGUGUGUCGUGCCGUGUGGAGUAUCUUGUUUCGAUUGCUAUGUUGCCUGUUUCGGCAGGUCUAGCGAUAGACAAGGUUCUAUUGCAUGGUGGUUCCGCGGGUAGCACUUUACAGGGCCCAUAGUCUUUGGUGUCGUGGUAGAUUAUCCACCUGACCCGUCUUGAAACACGGACCAAGGAGAGUAACAUGUGCGCGAGUCAUUGGGUGCAACGAAACCCAUAGGCGUAGUGAAAGUGAAGGAUUGAUUUAUUCAAUCUGAGGUGAGAUCCUGUUGUUUCUCAUGCGCGGUAUCACCAAGCUUGGAGCGACAGGCGCAUCACCGGCCCGUCCCAUGAUGUAGACACAGUCCAUUGUACUUGUGCACCGUCGGGGCGGAGCAUGAGCGCACACGUUGAGACCCGAAAGAUGGUGAACUAUGCUUGCGCAGGUUGAA
rnacentral:rRNA from 1 species